rnacentral:ncRNA from 1 species
ACACUCUGGAAAGCGCACGCCCUUCAUACGGCUGCCACCGAAGGAGAAAGCCCUGCGCCGCCGUGUUCCGGUGCGCGGGAGCAAGCUCUCAGGUUUCCCGACAGAGGGGG